rnacentral:rRNA from 1 species
AUGUGCUACCAGGUGAAGUGCGCCACUUGCGGCAAGUCCACGUGGGCGGGCUGCGGCCGCCACGUCGCCUCCGUGCACCGGCAGAUCCCCGACGGCCAGCACUGCGCCUGCCGCGACUGGCCGGGCGUCUCCGCCGACGCCAACGCCGCCGGCUCCACCUCCGGCGCCGUCAAGGAGUCCUCCACCUGCGUCAUCCUGUGA